CAGAAGUGCCCUUUGUGGCACAACACACAAUGCAGUCACCAUUAUUAUGUGAAGAUAGCAAGGGAAUCCAGACACCUGUUCUUGCUGGGUGCUCUACAUUUCUGAAGUAGUUAUUUCUUUCUCUUGAAGGCUUCCCAGGUUGGCUGAAAAAAGUGGUGCCUUUCUGACAAUGGCACAUAAUCAGGGAAAAUAAAAGUCUGUCUGAGUCAGGCUUCUGAUCUACUGAAUCAUCCAGAAGCGAUACUAUGAGUGCACACUUCAGACAUUGCUGCAGAAGUCAGAUUGAUCCCUUGACUGUUUGUUGACACAAAAGUACACAAAUUGGCAUUCAAUAAAGUUGUGUUACAUAAUCCCCUGUUCUGUAAAUAUGAGAUGCAGCAGGGCAGCAUUAUUUGGACUUCCUUCUGAACAAAGAGAGUGAGAGGUAGUCCUUGGUUAGUGACUGCCUCGUUCAGCUACCUUUCGAACUUAUGAUGAUGCUGAAAAAGUAAAUUUACAACUGAUCCUUGAACUUACAGCUGUUGCAGCAUCCCACAGUCACAUGACAGCCAUUUGCAAUCCUUCCCAGCCAGCUUCCGACAAGCAAAGUCAAUGGAGAAGCUGGCAGUAAGUCGCAAGUCACGGUCACAUGAAUUUGCACUUAAUGGCUGCGGAAGACUCAUAAAUGAAGACUGCCAUAGCAAAGGAUUUGGACAAAUCAAGCUUAAUGUGAAAUCUUCUGGCUGUUGGGAAAUCAGUCCAAUAUUCAGUCCAUUUAACAUGAAAGCAAUCAAGACAUACCUGCUUCAAUUUUUCACAGGAUGCCCACCAUCCUAACACUGGAGAGAGAUUUAUUUUCAAGAAUAUCAGCUUUUAACAUACUUAGCAUCUCUCCGGGGACUUUAGAAACAUCAAGAAACCAUACUCUGUGAACUAGGAAAAAUGAAGCUUGAUUUCAAGAGUCAAGAAACCAGAAAAUAAAGAUACUUUUAAUGAUCUUCCUUCUUCAAGCAGUGUGAAAUUUGAAACAGCUACUGUAGAGUGAGUUUCCUUUGGAGAAACAGCAACACCACAAUGGUAAAAUGAGAAGAAAACCAGGGAUAUUAAAAAAAAACAACCUGAAGCAAACUUUGCUUGACAGUGUAAUUCUGCUCAGGUUUUUUUAUGAAUAAAUCCCAGAAUUCUGGAAGAGGGAAAGAGCCAUCCUGCAUUUAGAUUUACAUUAUACUACUGCUACACCAGUAGAAUAGCCAACAUAUCUGAUGCAUGCUUAACCCAAGAGGAGAAGAGGAAAAGGAUGGAAAAAGGCAGUUAAUGACAUAACAUUACUGGGGGUGGGUGGGAAAACCAGCAGCCACUCACAUAUCAAGGGUACUGUCAGAUCCCCCCGAUCCAAGGAUUCACAGAACCCCUUAUUGGAGGAUCUGCCAUCAUUUCCUUGUAAAUGGUGUAGGCUCUGUGUUGCCAGAUGGGAGGGGGUGUGAGGUUGGAGUGUGAAGUGGAUUAUUAUGGCUAUGGAAGACAUCAAGGACCAUGGGUUGAGAUACACCAGGAACACCACCUGGAUGGGAAGGGGGAUGACAUGCUUUCGUGGGAAAGGGAACAAAUUAAGGGAAUGUAGUAUUAAAUCUAGGUUUGAGUGGGAACUCUCCAUUCGCAGCUUUACUUCUGUACCGUUCAUUUCGCUUCAUUAAACAGUUAAAGGAA